rnacentral:rRNA from 1 species
GAAGUCGGAAUCCGCCAAGGAGUGUGUAACAACUCACCUGCCGAAUGAAUUAGCCCUGAAAAUGGAUGGCGCUGAAGCGGGCGGCCGACACCGUGCCGUCUGGGAAAGAUUAGAGCGUUCCAGAUGAGUAGGAGGGCGUGGGGGCCGUGUCGAAGCAUGCGUGCAGACGUGUGUGGAACGGCCUCUAGUGCAGAUCUUGGUGGUAGUAGCAAGUAUUCAAGCGAGAUCCUUGAAGGGCGAAGCGGGGAAGGGUUCCACGCGAACAUUGAUUGGGCGUGGGUGAGUCGUGCCUAAGCCGAGUGGCGAUUGCUAAGUAGCGGCGAAAGGGAAGCGGGUUGACAUUCCCGCACACGGAUGUGGAGGCGGCGACGCACUACUGGGGCAAAGACGCUGGCGACGGCGCUGGGCAGAGUUGUCUUUUCUGUUUGACCGUUCUGCGCACGCGGUGUGGAAUCCGCUUGUCGGGAGAAACACGCGUGUGCGGGCAGAGCGCCGGGGCUUUUCCGGCGUCCAGCUCGCCGUCGACGGCCCUUGAAAAUUUGCCUGCUGGUAUACAAUCCACGCCGUGGCGUACCGAUCACCGCAUCAGGUCCCCGAGGUGAACAGCCUCUGCUCAGUAUGAAAAAUGCAGGUAAGGGAAGUCGGCAAAUUAGACCCGUAACUUUGGGAAAAGGGUUGGCUCUAGUGCUGCGUGGGAGUGGUUGUCGGGUUAACGUUCGGGACUUCGGUUUUGGGCGGCUGGGGCCUGUGGCUCCGGCCUGGCUGCUGGGGCGGGCACCCGCAAGGGGGCCUGUUUUGGGGGCUGGCUGGGCGCUGGAGCGCUCCAGGCCCGACGACGCCCACAGCAUGCAGCAGACUAGAACUGCAACGGGCAAAGGGAAUCCGACUGUUUAAUUAAAACAAAGCAUUGCGAGG